CCCACUUUUUUUAAACCACAUCCAACUUUUAAUAAACCAUGUUCAACUGUAACCCGGCCCGGACGGGCGACUCCACAACACGGGAUGAGUGAGCCCUUUAUCGUCCGCAACAACAAACAAAACUGUUGGAGGUUACACAAGCGUUGGCGCCCCUAGGAUUCCUAUUGCAGACUAGUGCUCCGCAUAGUGUAUCAUGUUGGAGGGAUUAGUUUGGAUUGGUUCGUCCCCAUGGCGCUGGUGGCGAUCAGGCUCUUUUUCCCUAGUGGCUUAAUAUAUCACCCCCAGUAGAUAGCAGCCAAUACAACCACUCAGACGUCCAACAACAAGCCCAUACCACAUCCAUUAUAUUAGCUACCGCUACCCGCUUGAGAGUAUGAUAACAACCAACCACGUUCAACCUAUCUUAAAAGAACCUCCUUGCAAUGCCCCGCGCGCGCAUGAACGAAAAGUGGAUUGGAGAGUUCUGUUUGUCACCGAGUUGCCAAGUUCUAAUUGGAUUUCGAUAACAAUCAGGUAGCUAUCAAAUUGCACUAUCCGAAUGCCUUGUAAGAAUGA
rnacentral:sRNA from 2 species